rnacentral:rRNA from 1 species
AGCAGCCGCGGUAAUUCCAGCUCCAAUAGCGUAUAUUAAAGUUGUUGCAGUUAAAAAGCUCGUAGUUGAAUUUCGGGAUCAAUAUGCUGGUCGUGCCUUUGGUACGUACUGGCAUUAUUGGUUUCUCCUUUCUGAUGAAUCACGAUGUCAUUAAUUUGGUGUCAUGGGGAAUCAGGACUGUUACUUUGAAAAAAUUAGAGUGUUUAAAGCAGGCUUACGCUUGAAUACAUUAGCAUGGAAUAAUGAAAUAGGACGUUUAAUUCUAUUUUGUUGGUUUCUAGGAUUGACGUAAUGAUUAAUAGGGAUAGUUGGGGGCAUUAGUAUUCAAUUGUCAGAGGUGAAAUUCUUGGAUUUAUUGAAGACUAACUACUGCGAAAGCAUUUGCCAAGGAUGUUUUCAUUAAUCAAGAACGAAAGUUAGGGGAUCGAAGACGAUCAGAUACCGUCGUAGUCUUAACCAUAAACUAUGCCGACUAGGGAUCGGAUGAUGUUAAUUUAUGA